AAAUUCUAAUUUUAAAACUCAAAUUUUAUUUUCAUGACAUCAAGUGAAAAGAAUUUGGUGGACAAACCUGGCCGGCACCCAUUUCUGGUAACAGCUGGAUUCCUUUUCAUCUCACAGUGCAGUGCCACCUGAUCAUGUGCUUACAUUCUUUUGAGAGGGUCCCAUUUAAAUAAGUAAUGAAACCAUGAUCUCUCAAGUCUCAUCCAUGCAGAAGAGCUCUCUUCCAGGGCUGCUGGUGAAAGCAGGUGCAAUCAGAGGAACCAUAAAUCACAGUGAUUCUGCAGGGCUAUCUACAGGGGAUGCACUGGACCCCAUUGGGACAUUUCAAAAGUAGUUAGAAAACUGCUUCUCUGGCGCCUUGCAGGAGAACUCAAGUGUCCAGAACAGAAGCCUUCCAAGGGGAGUGGGGACACUUCCACAAUCUGCUCCUUCUUCUGAGGUUCAAAAGCGACCUAAAAUGCAAUUAUACAUAUAUAUAUAAAGUUAAGAAUGUGAAGGAACUUUCUUCUUUGGCAGAUGCGUGCCCUUUUUUCUCGUUCCAAAUUAAAAUGAGCUGGAAGAGUACUUACUGCUUGGCUGUACGCAGCUGUUCAGAUGUGUAAGAAGACAGCUAGCUCCACUAAAGAUUAAUGUGUAUUAAAUACUUGCUCCAGAAUGUCAGUAACACUGAAAUUUGAGGCUUUUGUCUGUCGCUUCUAGCCUAUAGCAUGAUUAGAAAAAGCAACAUAGGUACAAUAAUAGCAAUGAAUGUUAAAGGAGUGCCUGCGAUCUCAUCUUCACGGAAGCCCUAUUGUUAUCAUCGGUCCCAUUUUAUAGAUGAGGAAACUGAGUUUUGGAGCUGUUUGGUGUCUUAGCCAUAGGCUCUCACAGUUAGUAAGCAGUGGAACCGGGAGCUGAGGAAUCCAGCUACUGCAGAGACCGCAGGAGGGGAAAUCUUUGUACCAUUGUAUUAAUAGUGCCGUUGACAUGACUUUAUCUGGAACGUUAGAAUUUUUAUCAAGUGAUUCUUAAAUAAUAUUUAAUUAGAGACCAGUUAUAAAAUUUGACUCCCCAGAGUAAAAUCUGAGGUUUAGGCUCCACUUUCAUCACCAAGACUAAGGCAGGGUAGAAGCUACAAUACUCAUAUCAGGAAUCUGGAGUUUUUCUCAAGCUCAGCUUCUGAGAAAUUUGCAGACUUGUAAGAAAUAAAAACAAGGGACCUUUCAAAGUAGGAUUGCUCACUUUUUCAUUUCCAUUUUUCAAAUAGUCUAAUACUUCCAAGACAAAUAGACGUCACUAUGAAAAUAUAUUCUCUUAAGAUGCAAUUGGAAGUCAGACUUCACGUCCCCUCAUUUAUGAAUGCAUUGUCAAUGAAUUACUUGUAUUUAUUCAGCUUGUGCAAAUAAAAGUCAAAUAAGGCUCAGAAAUAGGUUUCUUGGCAAUUUGACUUUCUGAGACAGAGAGUAUAGUAAGAGCUUAUGGAUAUAUUCUCCUUAGUUAAAAUGGAGUCAAAGUGAUCUGGGGAAACUUUGGGGGUAAUGAAUAUGUUCAUUAUCUUGGUUGUAAUGCUGGUUUCAUAUCUUACAUUUUAUUAAGUUGUACAUUUAAAAUAAGUGCAGUUUAUUUUAUGUCUCUUAUACCUCAAGAAAGC
rnacentral:lncRNA from 1 species